UGAGGGUCUCUGCUAAUCCAGAGGACAGGGUGAUCUCUCGCUCUUCAAGGCUGGUUUUUAAACGGGUAAACAUUCGUAAGAUCGUAGGGCCAGACUGCAUUCCUGGACGUGUCCCGAGGGCAUGUGCAGACCAACUGCCUUCAAUGGACAUUUUCAACCUCUCCUUGUUCCAGUCUGCAAUCUCCACGUUUCAAACUGACCACCAUCAUUCCUGUUCCCAAAAACGAAGGCAUCCUGUCACAAUGAGUACUGCCCUGCAGCACUCAUAUCUGUAAUAAUGAAGUGCUUUGAACGGCUGAUCAUGGCUCACAUCAACACCAUCAUCCCAGACACCCUAGAACCACACCAAUUUGCAUACCGCCCCAACAGACCCACAGACGACGCAAUCUUAAUUCAAUUUGACGGUAAUCUGGACAUGCUUUGGUAGUACCCAACUUGCUAAUGAUCGGCAGGUCCUAACGGACUGGUAUUCAGGGUUCUAUUGUCCCUCCAUCUGGUCCUAACGGACUGGUACUCAGGGCUCUAUUGUCCCACCAUCAGGUCCUAAUGGCCUGGUACUCAGGGCUCUAUUGUCCCUCCAUCAGAUCCUAAUGGCCUGGUACUCAGUGGGCUCUAUUGUCCCACCAUCAGGUCCUAAUGGCCUGGUACUCAGGGCUCUAUUGUCCCACCAUCAGGUCCUAAUGGCCUGGUACUCAGGGCUCUAUUGCCCCUCCAUCAGGUCCUAAUGGACUGGUACUCAGGGCUCGGUGUCAGGACGGGCAAGGGUCAAAACCAGGAGGAAAAAACAGAGACUGGGAAAAAUAGGAGCUAAACACUGGUUGACUUAGCAAACGAGACGAACUGGCACAGAGAGACAGGAAGACACGGGAGACGAACUCACCGGGGAUGGUGAGCGACACCUGGAUGGGGCGGAGACAAGCACAACGACCGGUGAAACAAAAUCAGGGUGUAACAACAGUAUCCUGCUUUUGUAACUCACCUCACUGUGAAGUUCAACAGCAGGCUGAAACUGAGAGUAAAACAUGACCAUUGUGGUUGUUGUUUUAAAGCCUAACAAAACAAAACUGUGUUUUUUUAAGGUGAUGAUUCAUUCAAAACACUCAUACCAAUAUUAUAGCUCAUACAUAGGCUUACAAUACAUAGUACUACAAUACAUAGCAGUACAGUACAUAGCAAUACAGAACAUAGCAAUAAAAUACAUAGCAAUACAGCAUAUAGCAAUACAGUACAUAGCAAUACAAUACAUAGCAAUACAGUACAUAGCAAUACAGAACAUAGCAAUACAGUACAUAGCAAUACAGUACAUAGCAAUACAGUACAUAGCAAUACAUAGCAAUACAGUACA
rnacentral:lncRNA from 1 species